UACGUAGGGACCAAGCGUUGUUCGGAUUACUGGGCGUAAAGAGCGCGCAGGCGGUCGUUCAAGUCGCGUGUGAAAGCCCCCGGCUCAACUGGGGAGGGUCACGCGAUACUGAUCGACUCGAAGGCAGGAGAGGGUAGUGGAAUUCCCGGUGUAGUGGUGAAAUGCGUAGAUAUUGGGAGGAACACCAGUGGCGAAGGCGGCUCGCUGGACCGGUUCUGACGCUGAGGCGCGAAAGCGUGGGGAGCAAACGGG
rnacentral:rRNA from 1 species